rnacentral:rRNA from 1 species
UACGGAGGGGGCGAGCGUUAUUCGGAAUUAUUGGGCGUAAAGGGCGCGUAGGCGGCUUGAUGUGUCAAAGGUGAAAUCCCUCGGCUCAACUGAGGAACUGCCUUUGAAACUGUCUGGCUUGAGGCCGGGAGAGGGUAGCGGAAUUCCACGUGUAGCGGUGAAAUGCGUAGAGAUGUGGAGGAACACCGAUGGCGAAGGCAGCCUCCUGGGCCAAUACUGACGCUCAUGCACGAAAGCGUGGGGAGCAAACAGG